rnacentral:tmRNA from 1 species
GGGGGCGUACCGGUUUCGACCGGAUGACAAGAGGUUCAGAUUGCGUGUCGUGGUUGGUCGGCGGGCCACGUUAAAAGUCGACCAAGCUUCAAUUGCCGAAGCUCGUUUCUCCCUGGCUGCUUAGUUAACUAAGCAACCCCGAGCGAUGGCCCCAGUCGGAAGGGCCUCCCAAUCGGUCGCCAAAUCCGAAUCGCCGCGUUCCACCGCCUGGUACGGACGUGGCUAAAAAAGUUCUAGGCUGGUUGACGACGAACCCUGUCGGCCGGGGUCGCGUCCACGAGAUUUAAAUCGACCGGAUACACACGUAGACGUUUGUGCUGAAACAUCACGGGACGCGGGUUCGACUCCCGCCGCCUCCAUUU